ensembl:misc_RNA Y_RNA Y RNA
GGCUGGUCCAACGAUAGUGGGUUAUCAGAACUUAUUAACAUUAGUGCCACUAAAGUUGGUAUACAGCUCCCCACUGCUAAAUUUGACUGGCUUAAA